rnacentral:rRNA from 1 species
GAGCUAAUACAUGCAACUAAGCUCCGACCUUUCACAGGGACGAGCGCAAUUAUUAGAACAAAACCAAUCGGGCUUCGGUCCGUGGUUUGGUGGAUCUGAAUAACUGCAGCUGAUCGCAUGGUCUUUGUACCGGCGACAUAUCUUUCAAGUGUCUGCCUUAUCAACUGUCGAUGGUAGUUUAUGUGCCUACCAUGGUUGUAACGGGUAACGGAGAAUAAGGGUUCGACUCCGGAGAGGGAGCCUGAGAAACGGCUACCACAUCCAAGGAAGGCAGCAGGCGCGCAAAUUACCCACUCUCGGCACGAGGAGGUAGUGACGAAAAAUAACGAGGCAGUUCUCUAAGAGGCCUGCUAUCGGAAUGGGUACAAUUUAAACCCUUUAACGAGGACCUAUGAGAGGGCAAGUCUGGUGCCAGCAGCCGCGGUAAUUCCAGCUCUCAAGGUGUAUAUCGCCAUUGCUGCGGUUAAAAAGCUCGUAGUUGGAUCUACGGCUUCGGGCCCGGUCCACCCAACGGGUGCGAACUGGCGUCCAAGCCUAAAACUGCUGGUUUUCCCUUGAUGCUCUUAACCGAGUGUCCUGGGUGGCUAGCGAGUUUACUUUGAAAAAAUUAGAGUGCUCAAGACAGGCUUAUAGCCUGAAUAGUGGUGCAUGGAAUAAUAGAAUAGGACCUCGGUCCAUUUUAUUGGUUUUGGUCCCGAGAUAAUGGUUAAGAGGGACAGACGGGGGCAUUCGUAUCGCUGCGUGAGAGGUGAAAUUCUUGGACCGUAGCGAGACGCCCUACUGCGAAAGCAUUUGCCAAGAAUGUCUUCAUUAAUCAAGAACGAAAGUCAGAGGUUCGAAGGCGAUCA